AUUGAACGCUGGCUGCAGGCCUAACACAUGCAAGUCGAACGAGUGGCGGACGGGUGAGUCAUGUCUGGGACACUGCCCGAUGGAGGGGGAUAACUACUGUACACGGUAGCUAAUACCGCAUACCAUCGGAUGUGCCCAGAUGGGAGUAGCUAGUCGGUGGGGUAACGGCUCACCUAGGCGACGAUCCCUAGCUGGUCUGCUAGGAUGACCCGCCACACUGGAACUGAGACACGGUCCGGAAUCCUACGGGAGGCAGCAGUGGGGAAUAUUACACGAUGGGCGCAAGCCUGAUGCAGCCAUGCCGCGUGUAUGAAGAAGGCCUUCGGGUUGUAAAGUACUUUCAGCGAGGAGGCGUUACUCGCAGAAGAAGCACCGGCUAACUCCGUGCCAGCAGCCGCGGUAAUAC
rnacentral:rRNA from 1 species